rnacentral:rRNA from 1 species
UACGGGGGGAGCAAGCGUUGUUCGGAAUCACUGGGCGUAAAGGGUGCGUAGGCGGGUCUUUAAGUCAGGGGUGAAAUCCUGGAGCUCAACUCCAGAACUGCCUUUGAUACUGAGGAUCUUGAGUUCGGGAGAGGUGAGUGGAACUGCGAGUGUAGAGGUGAAAUUCGUAGAUAUCGAGAGGAACACCGGUGGCGAAGGCGGCCAACUGGACG